AUACGGAAGGGGCAAGCGUUGUUCGGAAUCAUUGGGCGUAAAGCGGGUGCAGGCGGUGAAGUCAGUCGGAUGUGAAAGCCCAGGGCCCAACCCUGGAACUGCAUUCGAAACUGCUUCACUAGAGUCCCGGAGGGGAAGGCGGAAUUCCCGGUGUAGAGGUGAAAUUCGUAGAUAUCGGGAGGAACACCAGUGGCGAAGGCGGCCUUCUGGACGGUGACUGACGCUCAGACCCGAAAGCGUGGGGAGCAAACAGGAUUAGAAACCCCGGUAGUCC
rnacentral:rRNA from 1 species